rnacentral:RNase_P_RNA from 1 species
ACUGCAGGUCGCACAAUCGCGGUCCCGUUCGCGGGAUCGAGGAAAGUCCGAACUCCACAGAACGCCGUACUGGAUAACGUCCAGGCACCGUGCAAACGGUGACGAAUAGUGCCACAGAAAUAUACCGCCUGGGCAACCGGGUAAGGGUGAAAUGGUGGGGUAAGAGCCCACCGCAUGUCUGGUGACAGGCAUGGCCAGGUAAACUCUACGGGGAGCAAGGCCAAAUAAGUAAUUGAUUGAGCGCUGUUCGCGCGACUCGGUAUGCUGAAUUCACAUACCGAACAAUUACGGGUAGGCUGCUUGAGGUGGCGAGUAAUCGCCAUCCCAGAGGAAUGAUUGUGGAUGUGUUGCGCAAGUAGCACAUUACAGAAUUCGGCUUACAGACCUGCAGUGAUU